rnacentral:snoRNA from 1 species
CUGAGUUAGUGAUGAUAAAAGUUAUCCCUGUCCGAAAGUGAUCUUUCCUCUGUGGAAGCAUGACUCUGAGGCUCAG